rnacentral:Y_RNA from 1 species
ACCGCAGAUGCCGGAGGAAUUACAGCCUGAUAAGCCCGAGGCCGCGGGUUCGAGUCCCGCCCCUGCCGCCAUCAAUGGCAGGGUAGCUCAGCGGAUAGAGCGCGGAUAUUUCUCCAAUUUCUUGCUGCACC